rnacentral:rRNA from 1 species
AGUGAACGCUGGCGGUAGGCCUAACACAUGCAAGUCGAACGGCAGCACAGUAAGAGCUUGCGCUUACGGGUGGCGAGUGGCGGACGGGUGAGGAAUACAUCGGAAUCUACUUUUUCGUGGGGGGUAACGUAGGGAAACUUACGCUAAUACCGCAUACGACCUACGGGUGAAAGCAGGGGAUCUUCGGACCUUGCGCGAGUGAAUGAGCCGAUGUCGGAUUAGCUAGUUGGCGGGGUAAAGGCCCACCAAGGCGACGAUCCGUAGCUGGUCUGAGAGGAUGAUCAGCCACACUGGAACUGAGACACGGUCCAGACUCCUACGGGAGGCAGCAGUGGGGAAUAUUGGACAAUGGGCGCAAGCCUGAUCCAGCCAUACCGCGUGGGUGAAGAAGGACUUCGGGUUGGAAAGCCCUUUUGUUGGUAAAGAAAAGCAGCAGGUUAAUCCGCCGCUGUUCUGACGGUACCCAAAGAAUAAGCACCGGCUAACUUCGUG